rnacentral:rRNA from 1 species
AUGGCGGCGAAGGCGGAGGUGCGGCCGCGGCCGCUGGAGUUAGACCCCAUCACGAGCCGCGUCGAGCUGGCGUUCUGGGAGGACCUCCGCCGACUCAAGCUCGACGUCCUCGGCACCGACGACUCCCCCAUCCCCAUCACCGGUUACUAUAUUCCAUGCACACAUCCAAAAAUGUCGGGCCUCUUAAGGCUGGGCGGAGAAUCAUUAGUGCCACCAUCUGCCAACUCCUCUGGCUCUAGGAACUCUUGUCCAGUCCCAGGGACCCUCAUAAACACGAAUAACAUGCGAGGGUUACAAAACCUGGAUGUGGAGUAUCUACUGAGAGAAGAAGCAAAGAAGAUCUUGCACGACAUUAUGUAUGGUAAAAUAGAAGAGGAUCCUUCUCUGCUACUGAGGUUCCUUGUGAUAUCAUUCGCGGAUCUGAAGAAUUGGAAGAUUUAUUACAGUGUUGCAUUCCCCUCAUUGGUUUUCAAGUCUGAAAUGACUUUGCUCAGCCUGCAUAGUGCCUCACUGGUGCUUAGUCAAGAGGAGGCAAAAUCAUUGUCUAAGUCACUGAAAGAGUGGCGCAGUUCAAAUGAAACAGCAGCUCUUCCAUUUUUCUUCGUCGAUAUAUCCUCGGAUUCUUCUAUUGCUAUAAGGCAACUCAAGGAUUGGAAAGAUUGCCAGGACAAUGGCCAAAAGUUCCUAUUUGGAUUUUAUGAUCAUGGUUGUCAUCAAGAUCCUGGCUGGGCUCUUAGAAACUACAUUGCAUUCCUUAGUCUGCGGUUGAAAAUUGAGAAGAUUCAGUUCUUAUGCUACCGAGAAAAACGAUCGGAGCUUGAUCUAGAGAAAUCCCUUGUUGGCGAAGCAUCAUUUCCACCACCUCAUGGCUGGGAUGACUCUGAUUAUGUGCCUGAAGCUAUUGGAUGGGAAGGAGAAAAGCCUGGGGAUGGAAGGAAAGAAAAGAAACUGAAAGAAAUCAAUCUUGAAUCAAUGAGCCCAGAAAGGCGGGAUGAAGAACAACAACUGAUGCACUUGAAGCUUAUGGGAUGGCGGCACUUCCCUGUUGAUUUGGAGAAGUUAUCUGGCAUUCGAUGUCUUCUGUUGGGUGCUGGAACUCUUGGAUGUGAAGUUUCUCGCUUACUCAUGACCUGGGGUGUACGGAAACUAACAGUGGUUGACGGUGGUCAUGUUUCUAUGCCUGAUGUACUCAAACAAUCACUCUACGUAGAUGACGAUUGUGGUGUCCCAAGAGCCACCGCAAUAGUUCCACAUCUAAAAGAGAGAUGUCCUGCAGUGGACGUUGAAGCCAUCCAGAUGGAAAUACCAGCGCCUGGGAAUCCGGUUUCUCCAAGUGUGCUUGAUGAUUGUGAGCGUCUUCAAACAUUAGUAGCUUCUAGUGAUGUGGUCUUCUUGUUGACUGACACAUGGGAGAGCAGAUGGUUUCCAACUCUUUUGUGUGCAAACGAAAACAAGAUGGCCAUCACGGCAGCAUUAGGACAUGACAGUUACCUUGUCAUGCGACAUGGUGCUGGUCCAGGAACAAGAAGAGGAAAUAUGGAUGACGUGAUUGCUCAGAUACAGAAUUUAUCCACCGAAGAUGCUCUCGGUCGUCAAAGAUUGGGGUGCUGUUUCUGCAACGAUACGACUUCCCUUUUCAACUCAGUCUCUGAUGAAACAGUAGCACUACCUGGGUUGACCUCCAUUGUAUCCGGCAAAGCGGUGGAGCUCUUUGCGAGGAUGUUACAUCAUCCAGAGGGGAUACAUGCUCCAGGAGAUAUGGCUGGUAUGGAUACUGAACAUCAGCUUGGUUUAUUGCCGCACCAGAUGCGAGGAUCACUCCCGCGGUGUGAUUUAUCAACUGUGAUAAGCAAUUCCUCAAACAAUUGUACUGCAUGUUCUAAUAUUGUACUGUCUGAAUAUAGAAGAGAAGGGUUGAAUUUUGUCAUGCAAGCCAUUAACCAACCAACAUAUUUAAAGGACCUUACAGGCAUUUCUAAUUUGAUAAAGUCGGACACUUGUUUGAAAUUGCCAGCCAGCUUCCCUGUAAAUUCUGGGAAGUUGUCUAGUGCUCGAUGUCUACUUUUAGGUGCUGGAACUCUUGGGUGCGAUGUUGCUCGUAUUCUUAUGGAUUAUGGUGUUCGGAAUCUCACAAUUGUUGACAGUGGUUGUGUUGUUGUGUCAAAUUUGGCAAAACAAUCACUUUACACAACUAAAGACCGCAAGACCCCAAAAGCGACAGCGAUACUGGAGCAUCUAAAAGAGAGAUGUUCGUCAGUGGAGGUUGAAGGAAUUCAAAUGGAAAUACCGAUGCCAGGGCACCCUGUAUCAUCUAAAGAAGCUGCUGGUGUGCUUAAAGCUUGCGAGCGUCUCCAGGAGUUAGUAGCUGCCCAUGAUGCUGUCUUCUUGCUGACUGACACAAGGGAAAGUAGGUGGCUGCCAACGCUUCUCUGUGCGAAUGAAAACAAGAUUGCUAUUACCGCAGCCCUAGGAUAUGAUAGCUACCUUGCCAUGCGACAUGGGGCUGGUCCAGGAAUAAAUUCUGAAGGUUCAGAUAUGGUUGCUGCCAUGAACAAGCUGUCUGCAGAAGAUGUUCUUGGGCGUCAAAGACUGGGGUGCUAUUUCUGCAAUGACGUUAUCGCUCCUGUUGAUUCGGUCUCCAACCGAACGCUGGACCAACAGUGUACAGUAACACGACCUGGACUGGCCUCCAUUGCAUCUGGCCAUGCUGCAGACCUCUUCACAAGACUGUUAAAUCAUCCAGAUGGGAUACAUGCUCCAGGAGAUAUCGCUGGCACAAGCAGUGAGCGUCCGUCUGGUCUAUUGCCACACCAGAUGCGAGGAUCACUAUCGCAGUACAGCUUAUUAACUCUCAUGGGCUAUUCCUCGAGCAGCUGUAUCGCAUGUUCCAAUGCGGUAUUGCGUGAAUACAGGAGUAGAGGAUUGGAUUUUGUGAUGCAGGUGAUCAACGAACCAACCUACCUAGAAGACCUGACGGGCCUGACGGAGUUGAUGAAAUCGGCGGAUUAUUCUCGAGUCGAGUGGGUCGAUGAAGUUGACGACGAGGACUUUGCCGACAUGUGA